rnacentral:lncRNA from 1 species
CAGGUCCUAUCGAAGUCUAUUGUCUCCUGGAGCCCAGACCUCACAAUGUCCCAUUGUGACAAAUGCAAAGACAAGGUGGUUAAAUCCCAGUUUUCCAGAUCUCUGCCUUCAUUUUCAGUCUCCAGGACUCUACCCCUGAGGAUGGUUCUGCUCUCACUGCCUGGGCUGCCUCCCUGCUGGCUGUGUCCGUUCUUUGGAAGUGACUGUGCAAUACUUCAUCCUGUCCUGCCACCAUCAGUCCUCAUCCUUUACCUCUGCAAGUUACACCGAAGUUCUUCAGGUGGUAGCUGGAGCAUGACCAGAUGCUGCAGGUUAAUAAGGAAUGGGAAGACAACAACGGCGAAGCAGGAAAGACAGUAAAGAGGCUGCUGUAAUAGCCAGACAGGAGAUGGCAGUGUCCG